AUUGAACGCUGGCGGCAGGCCUAACACAUGCAAGUCGAGCGGAUGAAGAGAGCUUGCUCUCUGAUUCAGCGGCGGACGGGUGAGUAAUGCCUAGGAAUCUGCCUGGUAGUGGGGGACAACGUUUCGACAGGAACGCUAAUACCGCAUACGUCCUACGGGAGAAAGCAGGGACCUUCGGGCCUUGCGCUAUCGGAUGAGCCUAGGUCGGAUUAGCUAGUAGGUGGGGUAAUGGCCCACCUAGGCGACGAUCCGUAACUGGUCUGAGAGGAUGAUCAGUCACACUGGAACUGAGACACGGUCCAGACUCCUACGGGAGGCAGCAGUGGGGAAUAUUGGACAAUGGGCGAAAGCCUGAUCCAGCCAUGCCGCGUGUGAAGAAGGUCUUCGGAUUGUAAAGCACUUUAAGUUGGGAGGAAGGGCAGUAAGUUAAUACCUUGCUGUUUUGACGUUACCAACAGAAUAAGCACCGGCUAACUUCGUGCCAGCCGCCGCCGUAAGAC
rnacentral:rRNA from 1 species